CGAGUGGCGAACGGGUGAGUAACACGUGGGUGAUCUGCCCUGCACUCUGGGAUAAGCCUGGGAAACUGGGUCUAAUACCGGAUAGGACCAUGCUUUAGUGUGUGUGGUGGAAAGUUUUUCGGUGUAGGAUGAGCCCGCGGCCUAUCAGCUUGUUGGUGGGGUAAUGGCCUACCAAGGCGGCGACGGGUAGCCGGACUGAGAGGUUGGUCGGCCACAUUGGGACUGAGAUACGGCCCAG
rnacentral:rRNA from 1 species